rnacentral:rRNA from 1 species
CUACGGGAGGCUCCAGUGGGGAAUAUUGCACAAUGGGCGCAAGCCUGAUGCAGCCAUGCCGCGUGUAUGAAGAAGGCCUUCGGGUUGUAAAGUACUUUCAGCGGGGAGGAAGGGAGUAAAGUUAAUACCUUUGCUCAUUGACGUUACCCGCAGAAGAAGCACCGGCUAACUCCGUGCCAGCAGCCGCGGUAAUACGGAGGGUGGAAGCGUUAAUCGGAAUUACUGGGCGUAAAGCGCACGCAGGCGGUUGGUUAAGUCAGAUGUGAAAUCCCCGGGCUCAACCUGGGAACUGCAUCUGAUACUGGCAAGCUUGAGUCUCGUAGAGGGGGGUAGAAUUCCAGGUGUAGCGGUGAAAUGCGUAGAGAUCUGGAGGAAUACCGGUGGCGAAGGCGGCCCCCUGGACGAAGACUGACGCUCAGGUGCGAAAGCGUGGGGAGCAAACAGGAUUAGAUACCCUUGUAGUC